CGCAAGCCUGACGGAGCAACGCCGCGUGUGGGAAGAAGGCUCUUGGGCUGUCAACCACUUUUCUCAGGGAAGAAGCCCUGACGGUACCUGAGGAAUCAGCCUCGGCUAACUCCGUGCCAGCAGCCGCGGUAAUACGGAGGAGGCAAGCGUUAUCCGGAAUUAUUGGGCGUAAAGCGUCCGCAGGGGGCACAUCAAGUCUGCUGUUAAAGGCUGGAGCUUAACUCCGGUAGAGCAGUGGAAACUGGUGUGCUAGAGGGCGACAGGGGUAGAGGGAAUUCCCAGUGUAGCGGUGAAAUGCGUAGAGAUUGGGAAGAACACCGGUGGCGGAAGCGCUCUACUGGGUCGCACCUGACCCUCAGGCACGAAAGCUAAGGUAGCG
rnacentral:rRNA from 1 species